CAUGAUUUCCAGGGUGGAGCUAUCUCUGAGGGUCUUUCUACCAGACUAUGGGUGAGGAAACUGAGGCCCAGAUGGGUUGGAUCCUCCAGUGGAUGAAACACAGGCAGUACCGAAGGGUUGUACCAAACUUGCUGAGAAGCUUGCAUGCUUCGAUGAAGAAGCUGCCAUGUUGGAAAGGCCCACACAGCAAGGAAGUGAGGGUGGUCUUCAGCCAACAGCCAGCAAGGAACUGAGGCUCUCAGUCCAACAACCCAGAGGAACUGAAUCCUGCCAACAACCACAUGCGCUUGGAAGCAGAUCCUUUCCCAGUUGAUCCUUGAGAUACUGAAAGCCCAGCCAACACCUUGAUUGCAGCCUGUGAGUGACCUUGAAG